rnacentral:rRNA from 1 species
CAGGACGAACGCUGGCGGCGUGCUUAACACAUGCAAGUCGAGCGAUGAAGCUCUUCGGAAGUGGAUUAGCGGCGGACGGGUGAGUAACACGUGGGUAACCUGCCUCAUAGAGGGGAAUAGCCUUCCGAAAGGAAGAUUAAUACCGCAUAAGAUUGUAAUAUCGCAUGAUAUAGCAAUUAAAGGAGUAAUCCGCUAUGAGAUGGACCCGCGUCGCAUUAGCUAGUUGGUGAGGUAACGGCUCACCAAGGCGACGAUGCGUAGCCGACCUGAGAGGGUGAUCGGCCACAUUGGGACUGAGACACGGCCCAGACUCCUACGGGAGGCAGCAGUGGGGAAUAUUGCACAAUGGGGGAAACCCUGAUGCAGCAAACCGCCGCGUGAGUGAUGACGGUCUUCGGAUUGUAAAGCUCUGCCUUCAGGGACGAUAAUGACGGUACCUGAGGAGGAAGCCACGGCUAACUACGUGCCAGCAGCAGC